GUGACCAGCGGAAGGGAUCAUUA
rnacentral:rRNA from 1 species